CAGCUCCAAUUUCUUCAGAUAAUCCCCGUGCCUUCUGUUGAUGAUUUGGCUGAUCAGGUGACUUCUUUGGGUUAGAUUCUGUAAUGUGUAUGGGAGUCACGGCAGGUUCAUACAUUCUUACCCUUUUUGCUUAUUGAUCUCAGACAAGAUACAGUAAUCGUGUGCUUGGUUUGAUACCGGUAUCUCCUCUCUGUGGAGCAGCUUCUUGGACAGAAUGGCUAUAUGAUAAUGUUUUCCUU